UACGUAGGGUCCGAGCGUUGUCCGGAAUUAUUGGGCGUAAAGAGCUCGUAGGCGGUUUGUCGCGUCUGCUGUGAAAUCCCGAGGCUUAACUCCGGGCCUGCAGUGGGUACGGGCAGACUAGAGUGCGGUAGGGGAGACUGGAAUUCCUGGUGUAGCGGUGGAAUGCGCAGAUAUCAGGAGGAACACCGGUGGCGAAGGCGGGUCUCUGGGCCGUAACUGACGCUGAGGAGCGAAAGCAUGGGGAGCGAACAGG
rnacentral:rRNA from 1 species